AUAAGAACUUAUUAUGUACGUAGGUUGUUUGGUGUGGUUUUUACAACAAUUUACAAGUGAUAAACUUAUGUACGUAGGAAUUCACAAUAUUCUCUAUCUUUAGAUGCAACAACUGCAUCUGUGUUCACCCCAUGACCUGCAUAAGCCAUUAAAAAUAAUUAAGCUGCAAAACUUAUAUAAUUAAUGGAUAUAGCUCUCAUAUAUAUCAGCAACACUGAGGGAGUGAGGGCAUAAUGUUAUAAUUGAUCAUGCAAAUUCUUGUGAUGUUUUAUCAUUACUUCUAACAAUGAUGUAACUGGUGAGAUAUUUAAAAGACUAAAAAGACUUUAAUACCUAUUUCAUACAAUUGAACUAAAAUUGCAUAUUUAUGAUGAUUUAAGGAUUCAAUUGAUAAAAUUGAUACAUAAGAACAAUCAUCGUUACAAUACUCAAGAGAACAAAAAUGUAAUUAGACAUUUUUUUAUACAAUGUAAACUAUUCGUGAUAUACUCGUGUUGCAAAAUAUUAGUGUAAAUAAAUAUUAUUUUUAAUCGGUAGAUUUUUAUGUUAAGUAUGAUUUUUAGGUUAGUUUAAAAGUUAACUAGUUUAUGCUAGAUGAUAAAUUUUUUAUUGGUUAGUUGUGCAACAAAAUUCUUUAUUUGUUUUUGGUAGAGAAAAGAUAAAAAAAAAGUACGUUGUUAAUACAUAUACUGUUUUUUUAUAGACUAUUAAUAAAUCUUAAUCUCCAUGCAUAAAUUAACAAUCAAUCAGAACUCAUGCAAUAUGACUUUUAUUUUUAUAUUAGUAUAGGAAAUUAAAAAAAGUUAAUAUAUAUAUAGUUAUUUUUAUCACUUGACAAGCUAAAAAAAUCUUUAAAUUGUUAGUAUAUUCGUACAUUAUUUCCUCGUAUUAGUGUAUAGACAUACAUAGGUUUUUAUUGAUUAAACAACUUAAUUCAAAUAUAUGCAUAUCUUAGAGUAUCUAUAUUUUCUAAUAAUUUUAUUCUUAAAUCAACAUCACUAAAAUAGUUUGAAUAUUACUACAUUAUAGUUAAUAGUUUGUUAUAUUUUCCAGUUUGUGGAAAUUAGAUAGAUACUUCUUGGCAACUUGGGACCCACUUUGUAGUGGCGCCUGCCCUUAGUCUUGUGAUGGAGAAAAAAAACCCCACUCACACAACAGUCAGAGAAAGGUUGACUAAGAGGUCAACUGCAAAUUUGGUGAAUUAUGUCAUCACCAACAUUAUUUUUCAUUUUAGUUCUUACACUAUUUUUUUUUCUAUAUUUUGGUCUCUCUGUAUGAAAAACGUUUCCGAAUGAGUUCUUACUGUUUGUCAAAUUAAAUCUGAUCUUAUACUUAACACCUCUUUUGUUCUUACAUCAAAGUUUUGAUGCUUCGAUUUGAUUUUUACGUGAUACAAUUCUACGUAUAUUCCAGUCCUUUGAUUUCAUUUUCAUUCUACACGCAAAAUUUUAUAACUUCAUCAAAUGAUGGAUAUAUGUAGUUGGUCAUACAUAAAUUAAAUUGUUGGAAAUUUUCAAUAGGAUUGUUAUUACAAGAUUGAAUAUAUCUUAUAUAUGACACUUUCUUUUAUCUUUUUGUGUUUAUUAGUUAAUUAACUUUCAAUUUCGAUCUUUCGUUUUGGAUUGGAUUGAGAGCGCACAAGAAUAUCUGAAACAAGUACUUUAAAAUGUUUAAGUCAGAUGAGUCUGAAUUAAGGUAUAUGUAAAAGUCACAAGUUCAUUACCUUACAAAUUAUAAGGAUGUUUACCUCUUUAUAGUCUUGGUUAUGAGACUUCACCUACGGAAGAAGUUAAGGCAGAGACCUAAGUAGGUCCAUAUAUUCCUAAUCAUGCUUUAAAGACAUAAUUGAGUUCUUUAGUCGCUAAUCGCUUCAGUGUACUUUCUUUGGUUAGUUCGAGAAGUCGAAUAAUUCCUCUUAGUUGUUAACUACAGAAUUUAGCUGAGAUACCGUGAGGAUUCGAUUUCCACUUGGUCCAGUAAUACAAAGACAAAACUAUUAAAAUUUAAACUAGUACAUACUUUUUUGUUCCACAUGUUUUAAUAGAAACACACUAUUUGACCUCCAUGUAUAAUGCUCAAGAAUCAAAAAUAUAUUUUGUUUUCUUGAAUGCGAUUCUUGCAUGUGGCUCAACUUAUGAAGAUGUUGAGUAUUAGAUUCUAUUCCAAUAAAUAAUAGGAACGUUCUACACUUAUCCAAAAUAUUUUAGAGACAUGUAUAUCAUAAGUUUUCCAAGUUUGCAAGAUGAUGAGUAGAUGUGAUUUAUUUGAAUAAGUGGAUAACUAGUUCUUCUUGUGAGUUGAAGUCCCAAAUCAAGUAAAAAAUAUAUAAAAAGAAUAAUAUAUAUAUAUAUAUAUAUAAUCACAAUCUUAUUAUUUUAAGAUUUUGGAUUGAAUGUGGUAUCAUGGUCUCUUACAUGAAUUUGUCUCAUGAUUUACUUUUCUCAAACCUUCCUAACGUCUCUUCUAAAAAAAACAAAAAACCUAAUAAAUGCUAUUGGAUAUCAAUGUGGAUUUGAUGAAAAAUGCUUUUGAGAGAGAAUUUGUUAGGAUUAAAGUGUAAUUAGAGUUUCAAACUUGGUAAAAACUAUGCAAGAAGAAAAACACAAAGAAAAAAGAACCACAAACAUAUUUUUCAUUUCCUUUAAGGUUUUGGGUUAUAGAUAAAUUCAUACUAUUCUGUGUUGAAUAAAUCAACUCUCAAAUGACAGAACUUUUCUAUAACUACCAUUUGAGCACCAACAUUGGAAAUGGAGAGAGGCUGACUAAGAGAAAGAAGAACUCUCUAGUUGAGCCCAUUAUAGUCGAAGACGCUAAUCCUGUCCAGACUAAUCAAUUAGAGCAUAUGCUUAUGCCAAUCAUAGCAUCAAGUCCCACUCCUAACCUCACUCUCCAAACUCAUCAAUCACCACCACCUCGUAGCUCACCACAAAGUUCUCUCCAAGGGAGGAAGUUCAUCGCUUUUUUUAUAAAGAGUAAGGAAUGUCCCUUGAAUCAGGCGGAUGAUGAAGAUGAUGAAUAUAUGAGUUUGUUAGCUGUGGGUUUAUUACGAUACAUCAAAAUAGAUGGAAAACCAAGUUUAGGGUGUAGGGGGAACCUUUCCAAGUGAGCAUGACACAGAGAUGCCAAACUAUGUGGUCAAGAGACUAAAACAUGUCGUGAUCUUGUCAUUUUUAUUUGUUGUUGAUUUCCUAGUUUUAAGGAGUCAGUUAAGAAACUUUAGGUGCUUUGUUUUCCUUAUUUGUGUUCAUGGCCUAUUCCUAGGACCAUGUUGUUAUUGAGAAAUUAUUCUUUAAGUUUUAUAAAUUGUAAUGUUUCUGGUUUUUAAAUAAAAUAGAUCUUCAUCUUUGUCCUUUAUUCUUUUGAAAAAUCCUAACAAAUUGUAUCUCUAGCUCUUUUGUUAUGGGGCCUUUAAAAUGGAUUCUGAAAUAUAAAUUGUAACGUUUAUGGUUUUUAAAUAAAUCAAAUCUUCAUCUUUCCACUUUAUUUUCUUGAAAAAAAUUACAACACGGAGGAUAGCUUAGACUCGGCUGAGAUGGUGAUGGUGGUGAAGAAGAGUAUGACAUUAAUUUAUCAUUGGAAGAAAAUUGUUUUCGGUAAUGUUUGCUAAGGUGUUGGGUGCAUCAAGGAUUUGGAGAAGUUCUUGGGUAAAAUAGGAACAAACUUUUUCUUCCAAGGUGAAGGAGCUUGAUGAGUAGAAGGCUACAGACAACAAAGAGACUCUAAUGUGUGUGUGUUUUGAGGUUCUUUAUGAUUGAAGAAAGAUCUAUAUCUUCUUUAUUUGAAUAAGAGGAGAUGAUAUUUUAUUAUAAGCUAGAGUGACGUAAAAGAAAUUUAAUCAAAACCGUUCAGUGGCAACAAAUAUUCUUACUAGAAGUAAAACAUAGUUAAUGAUGAGUCGUAGAGAGAGUAAAGUCUCAUUUCCAAAAAAACAGAGUUCUCCAAUGGUUCUCUAAUCAGAAGCAAGAACUAAUCAGAAGCAAGAUUGAGUAGAUCCAAAAGCUACAAAGAAAAUUAUCAUGUGAGCGCAACUACUAAAUUUUUUGCUUACUAUUCUUGAUUUCAUAGAAUUAAUACUAACUUGUUGGCAACGCGAAAAUUUUACAGGUGAUGAAAGGAGACAUUUUAUCAUGGUUUAUAGAGUUGAAAGAAACUGAUACAGAAUACCUUAGAGACGUUUCUUGCAGGGAAAGAUACAAGCUCUGUUACUCUUUCCUGGUUUCUUUACGAACUUUGCAAGCUUCAAUUGCGCAAGAAAUUAGAGAGGCAAUAGAUGUAGUAGCUGGAUCAAUCAUUGAUGAACACAUCUAGAGUAAGUGAAGAAAACAUAGCAAAAAUGAAGUAUUGUUUUUCAGAUGACACGUGGACGAAUGGAUUUAGUGUGAAACAAAGUGACUUCGUGUCGUUCAAAGUAUAUGGCGUGCGACGGAUGAAAAUGUUGUGGUGGUGAAGAUUCUGAGAAAUUCAGGCCAGAGAGACGCC
rnacentral:lncRNA from 1 species